GACGAACGCUGGCGGCGUGCUUAACACAUGCAAGUCGAACGGUAAGGCCCUUCGGGUACGACGAGUGGCGAACGGGUGGAGUAACACGUGGUGAUCUGCCUGCACUUCGGGAUAAGCCUGGGAAGCUGGGUCUAAUACCGGAUAGGACCAUGGACUUCACGGUUUGUGGUGGAAAGCUUUUGCGGUGUGGGAUGGGCCCGCGGCCUAUCAGCUUGUUGGUGGGGUAAUGGCCUACCAAGGCGACGACGGGUAGCCGGCCUGAGAGGGUGUCCGGCCACACUGGGACUGAGAUACGGCCCAGACUCCUACGGGAGGCAGCAGUGGGGAAUAUUGCACAAUGGGCGCAAGCCUGAUGCAGCGACGCCGCGUGAGGGAUGACGGCCUUCGGGUUGUAAACCGUC
rnacentral:rRNA from 1 species